UGGGGAAUAUUGCACAAUGGGGGAAACCCUGAUGCAGCGACGCCGCGUGAGCGAAGAAGGUUUUCGAAUCGUAAAGCUCUGUCCUAUGAGAAGAUAAUGACGGUAUCAUAGGAGGAAGCCCCGGCUAAAUACGUGCCAGCAGCCGCGGUAAUACGUAUGGGGCGAGCGUUGUCCGGAAUUAUUGGGCGUAAAGGGUACGUAGGCGGUCUAUUAAGUCAGGUGUGAAAGCGUGAGGCUUAACCUCAUUAAGCACUUGAAACUGAAAGACUUGAGUGAAGGAGAGGAAAGUGGAAUUCCUAGUGUAGCGGUGAAAUGCGUAGAUAUUAGGAGGAAUACCGGUGGCGAAGGCGACUUUCUGGACUUUUACUGACGCUCAGGUACGAAAGCGUGGGGAGCAAACAGG
rnacentral:rRNA from 1 species